rnacentral:rRNA from 1 species
UACGAAGGGGGCUAGCGUUGUUCGGAUUUACUGGGCGUAAAGCGCGUGUAGGCGGGUCGUUAAGUCGGGGGUGAAAUCCCGAGGCUCAACCUCGGAACUGCCUUCAAAACUGGCGACCUGGACUCAAGUAGAGGCAAGUGGAAUUGCGAGUGUAGAGGUGAAAUUCGUAGAUAUUCGCAGGAACACCAGUGGCGAAGGCGACUUGCUGGACUUGUAGUGACGCUGAGACGCGAAAGCGUGGGGAGCAAACAGG